rnacentral:rRNA from 1 species
GUGGGGAAUCUUGCGCAAUGCGCGAAAGCGUGACGCAGCAACGCCGCGUGGGGGAAGACGGCCUUCGGGUUGUAAACCCCUUUCAGUUGGGACGAAGCUUCGACGGUGAACAGCCGGCUGGAGUGACGGUACCUUCAGAAGAAGCCCCGGCUAACUACGUGCCAGCAGCCGCGGUAAUACGUAGGGGGCAAGCGUUGUCCGGAAUCAUUGGGCGUAAAGAGCGUGUAGGCGGUUCAGUAAGUCUGCUGUGAAAGUCCAGGGCUCAACCCUGGGAUGCCGGUGGAUACUGCUGAGCUAGAGUACGGAAGAGGCGAGUGGAAUUCCCGGUGUAGCGGUGAAAUGCGCAGAUAUCGGGAGGAACACCUAUUGCGAAGGCAGCUCGCUGGGACGUCACUGACGCUGAGACGCGAAAGCGUGGGGAGCAAACAGG